rnacentral:misc_RNA from 1 species
CAACCAUCAAGCGCUGCUUGGUAUUGGAUGUCACUGUUAUAGUGCAUCUCAAAGUUAUUGGUGGCAGCAUUAAGCUUCUUGUGUAGUAAAUUUCUCGCUAUGGAGUUGAUGUCUGACUGCUAGAACCCCCAAUGUAUUAAAAGG